GUGAAGUGUCUUGCCCAAGGACACAACGACCGAGACUGUCGGAGCCGGGGCUCGAACUGGCAACCUUCCGAUUACAACUCUUGAGCCACGAUCGCCCCUUAAUUUAGAAUUACACACUGCCCAAACCUGACUUUGCCUACAAUGCAGAGAAAAAAGCAAGCAGACCUAUUGCAUGCAUUGAUUCUCAUAUUUCACUGUUACUUUUCAAAGGCUCAAGGACCAAGUAUUCUGGGGAUCCAAGCCACAAGCUUUACUCAGCUGCCCUGAACAACAUGAAGGGCACCUCUGCCUCAAUCACCCUGGACAACAAAAACAUUAGCAACACUUCACCAAGAAGGGGCAAAGGCACCCAAAUACAAAAUGUUUUAGAACACAGCACUUCAAAUGGUUCAUUCCAAGCAUCCUUAAAGGAGCGAUAAGCAAUAUCUUUUCACUGCUAGGUGUGCUGUUUUGCACUGCCUGUAAACCAAACCAAAGUCUAUGGCUGGAGAUCAACACAGAGAGAGGGAUUGUGACUUCAUGCUGUACUCCAGAUCUGGGAAGGUGAGAAGCAAGUGGACAAAUGAUGAAGUAAAGGUUGCUGCUAAGUACCAGGUAAAAAGGAAUGUGACUGCUGCUUCCAAGCAGAGCCGGCAGCUCGGAAAGGCAGAGACUGGGUUGCCAUAAAGUACUACAUCCACAACAGGAUCAUAGCAUUAAAAGAAAGAUGCAAGAAAAAAAGAAACAAGCAAGAGAGAUACUUUGUUGCUUCCACAGUUAUGUCAGUAUUGUAGUUUUCUGUAUUGCAUUGUUCUUACUCAUAAAUCUGUGGUUUAUGCUGGGUGCUUUUUGCAAUUAAAUGAUAAGAAAGGCAGAUAAUGUUCCACGUUUUUAUUCACAUGAACAUUCACUACAAAAUGAAUUAAUGCAUUACAAUAUUAAGACUUAAAAAGUAGACUGACCACAUUUGACCUAUGUCUUUUUUAAAGUCUCUACACAGCUCAUAUUUACUGUUUUAUUAACACAUAAAUGUCUGAUAUUUCUGUCAGAAGUUACAAGACUGGUGAGCAUUACUAUUGUGCAUCCAUGCCUGUUACAUUGUAAUCUCAAAAGGAGCCAAGCUAAAAAUACAGAACCUACCCUUACCUGGUCCUUAUAAGUCAUGUAUACUUGAAAAUUAUGUGUUUCCAUGGGCUUCACAAUUCACCUAAACAUGAAAUAUCAGUGUGUGACCUUAUGGUGCUCAUAAGUCACAUAAACCUGACAGUGUCCUCACAAGUAGCAUUAAAUUCAGGUUUGACCAAAAUUUCACCCUAGCCAAAAUCUCAACAGAUGGGCAUGUUCCUGGAAGCAUGGGUCAAGUUUUGUGUGAUUCCCAUGCCUCUAGGACCUUCAGAAAGGCACGUUCCCAUUUGUCACAUUUUUGUCAUAGGUCCUGAUAUUUCACGAAAACACGUAUGUGUGUGUGUGUGUGUGUGUGUGUGUGUGUAAAACAGAGAGCGAGAGGGGACAUUGACCUUGCUCUACUUACGUUUGGUUUUCUUGCAAUGGUGGUGAUCCAGGAAUUUAAGCCUCUUCUGCUAUUCUCUAAGUAGCUGUAAGUGGUUGUGCGUCAUUCUGCAGAAGUGUGCCAAGCUAAAUGCCUGGACUGCAAAUGCGAAUGUGGGUCCAGGUCCAUAGUGAAUAAAUCAGACUGCAAAGAGAAGACUGUAAGUUGUAUUGCUUUAGCCAUAGUAAUGACGUAACAAUGAAACUGACAAGUGAUAUAGUUGGGUUAGCUUUAAUGGCUCAUAACACCAUUGGAUAUUUCUAUUUCUCUAUUUUUUUUAAAAAAUAAUUACACCUAGAAGUUUCCACCAAUGGUUGCAUAGCUACAAAGCAUUUUUAAAAGGAUAUCACAGUGUAGUGUUUUGGUUAAUGUACUGCAGUUCUGCAAUAGUCA
rnacentral:lncRNA from 1 species